GGGUACACAGCUCAGUGGUAGAGCACAUGCUUAGCAUGCAUGAGGUCCUGGGUUCCAUCCCCAGUAUCUCUA
rnacentral:tRNA from 1 species